rnacentral:lncRNA from 12 species
UAGUAAGAAGAUCUGGUGUCCACUUGCAACCAUCAAAGUUAUGAAGGUUGUGACCUUGGGCACAUCAAUUCAGUUCUCUGAGCCUCUGUUUCCUCACAACAUGGGGGUACUAAUACCUGUUCCUCAAUUUUUAAAGGAUUGUCAUGUGGUUCAGUGCUCUGCAAACAUCACGCCACUGGGCUAUGCACAUCUAAGAGAGUAUUGCCAGAUCCUGUGUGCCAAGAAGGAGAGCCUUGUUAGCAAUUACUAUAAGAAAAAGAUAGUACUGUGGGAGAAGUGGUUGCCAUGGAAACUGGCCAAGGAUAAACAGUCUCUUCUAGGGCGAUGUGAGGCAAGGAGACAGGAGCAGACCACAGCUCUCAGGAGUGGGAAGAUAGCUGGGGAGUCACGUUGUUCUCUGAGCUCCAUCUGCCUGGCUCUUUGGAACUUACAGGAGCAUUGUAUUGUCUACUCAAGUGACCCUGGAGGUGCUCAGGAAUGAAACAGGAAAAGACGUACCUAGUCAGCUUGCAGAAAGCCUAAUGGGAAACUUGUGAUUGUGUGAUCUGUGUUACAAUGUGGAAAACUGAAUGGAUAAUACAGCGAGUAUCAUCUUCCAAGGAACUCACUCUCUGCCUCAGAUUUCCUCCAUCAGAGCUGAGCAGAGAGUUUGGACUUUUUCCUAACUGCCAUGUCCCGAGAUUGAAAGCAGUCUUCCCAGUUGCAAUGUGGAACACUAGCCACCUCCCCCUCCAACUCCCAGAAGGUGAGACUGGCACAUGGAAUAGAGCUAUGAUACUUUGUCUAGUCUUGUACUGGGUGAACUAUCUCCCAUUGUAUGAAAGCCAACAAUCUUCAAAUUAA